rnacentral:rRNA from 1 species
AUACGUAGGGUGCAAGCGUUAAUCGGAAUUACUGGGCGUAAAGCGUGCGCAGGCGGUUUUGGAAGACAGAGGUGAAAUCACCGGGCUCAACCUGGGAACUGCCUUUGUGACUGCAAGGCCAGAGUAAGGCAGAGGGGGAGGGAAUUACGAGUGUAGACGUGCAAUGCGUAGAUAUGCGGAGGAACACAGAUGGCGAAGGCAAUCCCCUGGGCCUGUACUGACGCUCAUGCACGAAAGCGUGGGGAGCAAACAGGAUUAGAUACCCUGGUAGUCCACGCCCUAAACGAUGUCAACUGGUUGUUGGGUCUUCAUUGACUCAGUAACGAAGCUAACGCGUGAAGUUGACCGCCUGGGGAGUACGGCCGCAAGGUUGAAACUCAAAUGAAUUGGCGGGG